GAGCCCUGGCAUCACCUCAUGGCAUGAUCCAAUCAGAUCACACCUCCCAGCAUCACCUCAUAGCAAGACCCAAUCAGAUCAAGUCUUAUUACCCUCUGCCUAUAAAACCUGCCCCACUCCCCAGCUCAGAGACACAGAUUUGACCACUGCCUGCUGUCUCCUUGGCAGUUGAUUCACAUAUAUGAUGUUGACAUAUUCAGACACGCCCACAGGAGAGCUGCCAGGUCCAGGGAAAAGAAAGUGUCUCAUGAGGAAAAGGAAUCUGCUUAACUUCGAGAAAAGAAGACUCAGGGGAUGUGAGGGGGCAGGUUACCUUUGAAACUGUAUGAGAUCCAGCAGUGCUACAAUGGGAAUAAAAUGAAAAGACAUCUUUAAAAGGAAUCAUUCCAGAGAGAUCACAGCCGCAUUCUGUUUGAAAUUCUUAGAAGCAGCAAGUGGAGACCGAGGGGGCACAUUACCAUUCAGAUAGCUUCCAUCUAUUAUUUCUUCCUAAAAGACAAAGAGAUAACAUCAAGUAUAACAUCCAAAAGUUGGCAAUUCCAGUAGAGGGGAUUCUGAUUAAGAGAAAAUAGAAUACUCACCGCCAUUUUUUGCAACAAUGGAUGCAAAUCUGUAAGAAAGCCA